UCCAUUGAGGCGAGCGCGUGCUCCGGCGAGCACAUGGGAAACAAGCAGCCAGCCGAGCCUUCCUCGCUCGCUUGCAAAGAACCGCGGCCUGGUUCUUUGGCGGCCCUUUUUUUUUUUUUAAAUCCUCCCGUGGGGGUUUUAUAUUAUUUUCAUUUUUCAAUUUUCAAUCUUCUUCUUCAACGCCGGGGACGCUUCUCGAUUUUUUUUUUUUUAAAAAAAAUUUUUUUGGAAAGGGGGAAAAAAAGAAGAAGAAAAAAAAAAAGCCCCGAUCGAGACGGCGAAGAACUUUGCAAGGCUUUUCUCUCCCCCCCCCCCAAUUGGUUUUUUUUUUUCCUUUGGAGGUGGGGGAAGGAAGGAGAACUUGGUCUGGCUUGGGGAAGGAAGGAUGCGUGCGUGGUCUCCAUCUCAUCUCUGGCAAAUUCCAUGGCUCUGGAAUUUUCAGCAUCUUGUUCCUAUCGUUCAAGGAUCUCCAAGUCCCUGGGAUUUAUCAAGCGGAGCAGAGAUUCCAGAAAGUGUCGGCUGCAGAUAAAAACGCCUUGACCAGGAAAAAGGGGAGCGGCACAGGGUUUUUGACCAGUUCUUCUCCCCCUUCCCUAACACUCCAUUGGUUUCCUUGAUUUGUGAUGUCCAUAAGAGAUGGAUUAUUUUCCCAGCACGAUUGGAAUACGGCGCGUCAGAUUUUGAUGACGGUCAGAUUUUCAUUCUGGAAAGCAACAAAGGGCGAAUAAUUUAAACUCUGAGAUGUCUCCCAGUCUUCCCACAAAGCGUUGAGUGUCUUGCUGAGGGCAACACUUCGGUCACCCGUUUUGGUUUCCUGCAUUCCGGAGUCUGGAAGAAGCGGUUUCGAAUGUUCCUGGAAUUUAGCAGUAGAUCCGGGCUCUGCUUUUGUUACAGGUGCACCGAUUCACAGGAAAAUUAUAAGCACCGUCAUGCUCUUCCAGGAUUUUCCCGCUGGCUGGCGCCCUGUAGCUCGGGAAUGCUUAAUUAAAGCCACGGCCCGUACCUUUUACUGUUGGCAAGAAACACCGCCGCCGUCUUGGAGAAUCGGCAUUCCAGAACUUCCAAGAUUGAUUGCUGGGAAAAGUCUUUGGUUGAGGCUGGCCCGCCUUUUCGGCGCUUUGGUUUUUAUAUAGACAUCUAAGAAGAGCAAACUCGUGAGGCUAUCUUUCGGAUAGUAUUCCUAGAAUACAUUUGGGUUUUUUUUAAAAAAAAAACUGAAAAUGAGAAGAACUUUGAAUGGAUGGUUGUGUCGGCCUUUUCAAAACGAUCCUUCAUAAGGAUGGAGUGGACCAGCAACCAUAAUACCUUUGGAGAAAAACAAGAAGCCGAAGGAAGAAAGAAAGGACUUGAUUCUGAAGCCAAGGAAAAUGGAAAUGAGCUGCAGAGUGAUUGACAUAAAAAGGAGAAGCAAAAUGUAGCACCUGCAAAUUGUGAUGCAAAUGUUUUGGAGGAGAGCAGAAAAUAGGAACACAAGAUUUUGGAGCGGUGCACAAUGGGCCAGAGAAAAUCCCGUUUGAUAAGUGAUGGAAAUGACAUGAUUGAAUCAGAAAGAGUGAUGUAGAGAUGGAACUGCUUAGAUUGAAGGCCUUUCACAUGUAUUGACUGGAUUUCCAGGGGAACAGGCAGAAUUUACCAGUGCAGUGAAGAUCAGCAUUUCGCAGGCCAGAUCCAAACCAAUAAUCUACAUGUUAGGAACCUGGAAGGAGCAACAUUCAAGUGCCAAGGAUGGCUAUUGGAUUCCUGAAUGCAAAGCAAUUUGUGAGCACAUUAAUUGUAACAGUUACUACAAUAAAGCAUAUAAAGAAUCUUGAA